ensembl:lncRNA
UGGGAAGUGGCAGAGCGGUAGCUGCUAGGCUGAUUUGAUUUGCCGUUUCCCAAGACUGCCUAUUCUAAAGUCUUUUCACCAAAGCCAGGCCAUAAUGGUUUUUGUUCAGUCAAGGGCAGCGGCAAGCAUUGGAUGAGGCAUGUUGGGAAAGUGGGCUUGGAAGAGCUCUAGGGGAAGUGCCAGAAUGUGAUGACAACCGUGCGGUUUGUGGAGCGUCACACCACUCCAGACUCCUGAAGAAAAGUGGUGUUCAAGCAUGGACGAGAUAAUCAAGGAGGCGCUUUGACGUUGGCUAGCCACGGGUUGGAGAGGCUGUGGAUGAGAAAAUCGUAAGGGAGGACCACCCAUUGGGCUCGGAGGAGAGAGAUUCCCUACACGCCGUCUCUUUGGAAUAUUAAUGGGCUUCUCCUGGGAAAACUGCCCACAGAAUAGGCCACUCCAUCGCUGUCUCUGUUUCCGCUCAGCUGUCCUGAGGGUACGUGAGGGUGUUCGGUGCAAUCCGGCCUGGAGAAACCUCAAGUACACCUCAAACUUUUGUUUUGAUGUUUCAUUAAGGACUCUUGGAAAUUGAGCAUUUCUUUUUUUCCCCCUAGAAUAUAUUACAGCUUUUAUUACACAAUAAAAAGCACAGGAACGAUUACAUUUAUGAUGUCAAAUUCCUCAGUCUCAAUUUUAUAACCGCAAUCAAUAAGGAGACAUAUUGAUUGAAAUGAGGGGAUCAUUAGCACGUGAGGGAUUGGGGAAUGAUGACAGUGAUGAUUGGGGAGGUGACAAUGAUGCCGAUCACCAGUGGUUGUCAUCACUGGAGCUGCACUCGAUGGCAGAAGCCCAGACGUCUCAUCUGUUUGGCCGUUAUGAGAGUGACCGUCCUAAUGGCUUCCACAGAUGGCAGAGCUCGCUGAAGUCAUUGCACUUUUCUUUCAAUCCCUUUUGCAUUCUUUAUCUGUAUUUGAGUCUCUGUUACUUGCUUUCAGUCAUUCCACUAUUUCCACUAUUUGAGUUUUCGGCAUAUUUAUGUGAAGAAUCCAGUUUUUUUACAAGCCUGCCAAGCUGUGAAUGAAAUAAGAUGAAUUUGAAAUGGUAGGGAGGUCAAUAACAAAUUGUGUUAGAAUGCU